rnacentral:rRNA from 1 species
UACGUAGGGUGCAAGCGUUACUCGGAAUUACUGGGCGUAAAGCGUGCGUAGGUGGUUCGUUAAGUCUGAUGUGAAAGUCCUGGGCUCAACCUGGGAAUGGCAUUGGAAACUGGCGACCUAGAGUGCGGUAGAGGGUAGUGGAAUUCCCGGUGUAGCAGUGAAAUGCGUAGAGAUCGGGAGGAACAUCCGUGGCGAAGGCGACUACCUGGACCAGCACUGACACUGAGGCACGAAAGCGUGGGGAGCAAACAGG